UACGUAGGGAGCAAGCGUUGUCCGGAAUCAUUGGGCGUAAAGCGCGUGUAGGCGGCUUUGCAAGUCGGAUGUGAAAGCCCACGGCUCAACCGUGGAAGUGCAUCCGAAACUGCAUGGCUCGAGUCUCGGAGAGGAAGGUGGAAUGCUUGGUGUAGAGGUGAAAUUCGUAGAUAUCAAGCAGAACACCUGCGGCGAAGGCGGCCUUCUGGACGAUGACUGACGCUGAGACGCGAAAGCGUGGGGAGCAAACAGG
rnacentral:rRNA from 1 species